GCCUUGUACACACCGCCCGUCACACCACGGAAGUUGGGAGUACCCAAAGUAGGUUGCCUAACCGCAAGGAGGGCGCUUCCUAAGGUAAGACCGAUGACUGGGGUGAAGUCGUAACAAGGUAGCCGUAUCGGAAGGUGCGGCUGGAUCACCUCCUUU
rnacentral:rRNA from 1 species